rnacentral:tRNA from 1 species
UCCCUAGUGGCUCAGAGGGUAAAGCGCCUGUCUACAAUGCGGAAGACCCAGGUUCGAUCCCUGGGUCAGGAA